rnacentral:misc_RNA from 1 species
GCUUAGUUGAGUUGAGCUGAGUUGAGUUGAGUUAAAUUGAGUUGAAUAGGAUGGCAGAAAGGAAGAUUAUCAGAGUAUCUGCACAUGAACAUACCCAAUCUGCCAGUAUCAAGCAUCAUUAAAGCUCCUUACUCCUUCUACCACUACUAUCGCCAAGUCCGGUAAAUCCUCUAUGUGUCUUGUUUGCUCAUAAUCCAAGUGGUCAUUGAUUCAAGUGCUACAGAUCUUGUGACAGGUAAUUCAAGUCUCUUUUUUACUUUCA